AAAGGAUCUGAAAAACGCAUGCAUAAAACACUACACACGAAACACUGAAGGACUGUGGCAAAGAAAUGGCUCAAAAGGUGCUAACAAUAAGAGAAAAACCUGGAGAACAACGUGCCAAAGCCCAUUCACACAAAUGCUGCCUUUUUGCAUUUACAUCUCAGCUUCUCUUUAACCGCCAUGUAGAGGAAAGACAUGGACAAAAGUACUCCGGAAAACACAGGUGCCCUGGAGAAAAUCUCAGUAAGCCUUCCUAGAUCAACUUGUGUUAACCAGCACCCUGCUCUAGACAUAUUUCAGAGUAUGCUGCUCACAGUAUAUUCGCUAAACUAAAACGCUCACUUUCACAUUCUUGCAAAGCCAAAGACACGGCAAAAACUGUGGGCUUUCUGUGCUGUUGGUUGUAUGCAUGCAAGUGGCCAAUCCCAUCCAAGGAAUGGAGACAGGUUUUACCCUUGGGAGACAUCACCCUCCAGUGCUGAUGGGAUGGGCAAGCCCAAUGGGCCUGAGGUCAUGUCCCGUGCCUGUGGUGGAGAUGAGGAACACAGACAGGAUUCUUCACUUCCUGGCCACUGCUUCCUCCUCUGGAAUACGAGUUGGCAGCCUACAGCUUGAAGACCAAAUGGAGCAUGUGGCAACCAUAACUGGGACACAAGGGCCAAAUCUCCCACUGAUUGAUGAACUUGGCACAGCCUGGGGAAAGCCAUUUUCCUUCAUAGUUUGUGCUUCCUAAAGAGGUUUUAGGGUCCUACUGGACAUAUGGCUUUGCUGGUGCUAUCCACUGGAGUCACCCAAUGGACACCAGUGCGUUUUCUGAACGUGAUAAGAAGGGAUCUAAAAUCCCUCUAGUGUCUAUGGUUGCCCAGGCUCAAAACUCAGAAGGUGCCAGUGAGUGUGCUCCUGGGGCCUUGCUUUCUGCCUGGGGAGGGAAAAACGUCAAGUGGCCUCUUCCAAGCAACAGGACACAUGAAUCACCCCCAGAAUGCCACUGGAUACAAGAGCAGUUGUUCAAUACCCGCCCGGGGGUAAAGCCUCCUUCCAACACCCCCCAUCAAUGGUUUCCAGAGGCAGUGAGUUCCAGAGAUUAGUCACGCACUGUGUCAAAAUUAUCUCCUCUCAUCAGCAACAUGUCUGCUUGUAGGGUGGGUACUUGCAUGUUCAUCAGAGAGAAAUAAAAAGCAACAGAUUUCUUAAGAGAGAAAUAGAGACGCUAUAACAACAUUCAUUCUAAUUAGUUUAAUUACUUGUCUGUGCAGCUCCCCGAAUCCUCCUCACUGGAGUGGAUUAAAGUCGCUGGAUUUAAGUAAUUUUUCAUACUGAGUCUUACCCAGCAUCAUGUGGUGGAAGGUCAAGAAAUUCACAAACACAGAACAAAAAUUAUUUGUACACAGUACCUUCAGCUACGUGGCCAAAAUCUGCAUGUGGUCACAUUUGAUUUUACAUAUUAAAACCAGAUUAUUUUGCUUGGAUAUUCAGGUAAUUUAUUAUUAUUAUUGUUAUGUUAUGAAUUAAGCAAAGGAUUCCUUGUGGGGCUGAAAGUGGUACUCUUCGCUCAAGCAACUUCUAGAAACUAUUUCCCAGUUGUGCAGAUUAAACCCCUACAGCAAUGUCUGGUCCUCUUUCUACCUCUUUCUACCUCAUGGUCACCUAGGCAGUUAUGUAUUGUAUACAUUAUUAUAGAUUUCAUAUAUUAUUGUGCAUUCUUUUUGUUCAGACUUAAGAGGGACACCAUCAGUUAAAUGUCUGCAGAGCAGGAAGAAAACAGGCUAUUAGAGAAUCAAAGCAUUUAGUUUCUUUACACACUUGCAAAACUUAAGUGGCAACGCAGAAGUUUUCCUGCUUCAGGACUUCUCACACUGCUAGUCUCCUUCAGCAGUCAAUCCUGCCCUGGGAAUCACAGUACCCAGCCAAGCACCAAAAUUUUCAAGUAAAAUUAAGGCACUCACAAACACUUCUGCCAGUGAAUUGCAAAGGGAAAACAAAAAUCACAUGCGCAUACUGGGUGUUCCUCUUGCAAGACUUCAGGACAGAAAUGAGCUCUAAUGUUAUUAAAAAGAAAGCUUUAAUUUAUCAAAAAGCAGUCCCUAAAUCCCACUUCUGGCACAGGCAGCACACAUCACAGCACAAAAGGGAGAAGUGCCCAGAGGACCUGACAGAGGGGAAGGAAUGUGGGCUGAGGGCAGGAGACGGACGGUGACCAUUCCUCAGCUGGGUUUAGAUUUACGUUUGAGGGAGAGAGAAAGGAGAAGUCUGGGUACCAACCAGGGUGCUGAGUCUGAAUGACAGACGCUGACUUACUGGAUGUUUGGCCAACACUAUUUGUCCGACACGUGGAGCAUCCCUUGGAUCAGCCUCAUCCAACACAGCAGCAGCACUGAAGGAGUCUACGGAGUUCCCAGAAGAGAGGAAGGAGCUCAACGAGGAACACACAACAUUAGUAACCUGCGUGUCUAUAGCUGCACACCUCCCCCUUUGACUCAUUCAAGAUGUGGUAGAAAAACGCAGAUGGUUUGUGAUUUAUAAUGCUGGUGACUCACUGCACCUCUUCCCUUUUCCCCCACCCCCAAGGGCUUCUCUGUGUAUCUUCACGUUCCCAGAUGAGGAGAUCAGAGGAGAAAAUGCUAUAAACAGACUGAUGUAACAUCUCCUUCCCACAGAAUGACUCUAACCUUGCCCCCUACACCAUGCCAUUCUUCUCUCCUGCUCACACUUCCACUUCCACUUGCCUAUGCUCUGUUGAACCCAAUGGCUAUCACUUCAUGCCUUUCAGAUUGACACUGCAGUCUGAACCUUGGCACUACCACAAAAGGCUUCAGAACAGUUUCCCAUUUUAUAACAUCAGGUCUUGCUUAUAAUCGUAACACCUAAAAAUAUUCACCAUCCAAAGGGAAAGUCCUGAGUUACGAUGUCAUAAGCUACCAUCGUGUUUGAAGUAUGAAGUGUAUCAAAGACUUGCACAGUGAUGAACAGAAAUGUUUCACCUUGUGAUUUCCAGAAGCAGGAACUUCAACCACCCCAGAAACUGCCAGCCAGGUGUUCACAGAACCUGGACACUCAGCAUCCUUCAGAUGAAGCCAGAGGAAGUCAGACCAAUCUGAUGCUCCAAACACUUCCAGAAAGCGCCAACUUUAAGCAGAUGAAGAGUCAGCUUUUGGCCUAACUCACAUGGUUGGAUACUCUAAUGAACUCAGGAGGCAAAACUCAGGUGACCCACAUUGAAAUGCCAUGUAUUGGUCUGGGAGUGCAAACAGACCCCAACACACAUGCUUCUGCCAGGUUGGCAGCUCAUGGUCACAUGAGAUCACCUGCUCACUAGCCAAGUUCAGGUGAAUGACCCUAAACUGCUGGCAGGUGAUGGAGGUGUGUUUCCCAACCUGGAUCUCUACUUAAGAGGCUUCUCAUAAAUCGUUAUACCGAUAAGGCACUUGAGACAUCUUCUUUUCCCCACUAUUGCUGGGAAAAUACAGCUUAUUGCUUAAAUCUGAUGCAACUUCUCUCCAACCAUAGCUGGUGUCCUCUCUCCAAAACAAGACAGAGACAAUAACCCAGUGUAAGAUCAGCAGGUCACUUCUCUGCCAUUCCCAGCCAUGAGAAAGGCAAUCACAGACUGGCUUAAAUUGCAAGGGACCUUAAAGAUCAUCUAGUUCCAAGCCCCCUGCUGUGUAUCUUGGUGUACAGAAGGCUCACUCUCAUCCUGUCACAUCUUAAAUUUUCUAGUGCUCUACCUGUUUAAAGGAUUGAUUGUUUCAAGAGAGGACUCACUUAACACCAUGAUAAAAUGUAGUUCCUCUUUUGGAGGUUUUUCUUCUCAAAAAGGAAUCAUGUGAUGUCCACUGUGUAAAACAGGUAGCUUUCCUAGGUUCUUUCCCCUCAUGCAGGAGUCUGCCUUGGGUAGUUAAUGACCUACGGUGCUCAGAGGAUCCAUCAGCCCACUGUCUGAUGGCCUUACAGCUGUUGAGGCAGAAUCCUCACACUAGGGCUGUGAAUUAAGGCAGCACCAUUAUCCCAAUUGCUCAGAUGGGCAAUUAAGACAUGAAGACAUUGUGGCUGAGGCUUCACUGAAUGGCCAAGCUAAUUUACCGCCUGAUGCUGUCAAAUGUGAUGGGGCAGAGACUGCAAAAAACCAUGGCCUACCCAGGAGCACAUGGGAAGUAAGCAAGGCUGGAAAUCAUACCCAGUAUGUCUGUGCUCCAGGCUACUGUUCCAUCCUUCUGUAAAUUCAGAUCUUCCUGACUCACAAGUUAAAGACAUUUAACAGCCUAUGCAGAAGGAGCUGGGACUCUUAGUUUAGGGCCCAGUGAACAAGUACCAAAGUCACAAAACAACCCCAACUCUCACACCCCAGCGGGCUCAUGGCAGGAAGCAAACGUCUGAAGAUCAAAGGCCUGACCUAUCUGCCUUCCCUUAGAAACCACUCAGCAGGCCCAACAGCACAGACACCCGGCUCUGCAUGCAGGCUGCAGAGAAGCCCUCUGCUUCUGAUGGUGCCAAGCCUCCCUCAGUCCUUACACAAGCUGAAAGUGUAGAGGAAGUUCUUCUGCAGCUGCAGAAACACGCAGCUAUCCAGGCUGCAACAGUUCCUCCUGGUCUUCCUUUGCUUGAACGUUACAGCUUGCACUUUUCCUUUUUCUUUUUUGGCCAAAUUCUGGAAAAUCCAAUAUUAUAGGGGGCUGUUGCACGUGACAAAGACCUUCUCAUGACAACAUCUCAUUCAAUAUACUUGCUCUCUCUUGAUGGUUCUGGAAGCCCUGAAAAUCCUGAAGCUGACCCACGCCCACCCCGACACCUUUCAGUCAAGGUCAGCCUUUCUCCUCCUAUUGGUAAUACAAACUCAGUGUUCCUAGUGUGCAUCACAUUAUCCUUUAAUCAGUUCCUUGGUCAGCUCUGAGGUCAAAAACUGAAGGAGUGACCCUCUAUAAGAUGCUCAGCCACUGUUUUCCAUCACCAUUAUCACACACCAUGCCUGCUGAAGUUGUCUUAUUAUACCUGCUGUCUUGUUGAAGUUGUUUUAUUAUACCUCUGUCCUUCAUCUCCUGCAGUUCCCAUUUAGAUCACUUCUGCACAUCAUUUCCACCUUACUGGCUUCCAUUCUUAUCUCAGCACUUUGUUUUCAACACGGAUUCAAUUAUCCCACCCAAAACUCAUACCACACAAAACACUUUGCUUUAGUAUAAUCCUAUGGACAGUGUAAUAGAGGCAGAGGACCUACAACACCUUCAGCAGAAGAGGUAAAGAGACACUAAAUAGAAGACUUGCAAACAUUUGCGUGUAUCCUCUCCACAGCAGGCCACAAAAGUAUUUCCCUCAGUUUACUGGGGUUUAGGGCAGCUAACACAAAACCAAAAGCCACCAAACACCGUCUAUCAUCAGAAGCCAGCUGAAGCAUCACUGAUGCCCCCGAUGUCUACUCCAUCUAAAGCCUGAAAUUAAUAAUUAUUAAUAAUUGUAAAAUAAUCUUAAGUUAUUCAUGAAGUAACACAUUCUUGUUCUGUACCACUGUUCGAACUUGUCAUCCAACUAAUAUGCUAAUAUGCAACUAAUAACCUUGUAAUAAAGAUGAAUAUUUAUUUUCUUGAGGAUAAUCGCAGAUUAUACAUACAACUCUUCUGAGAAUACCCAAGAACAGACUUAAAAGCCUUUCAAACCCAUGCCUGCUGAUGGGGAAUGGGCCUGCCUGCACCCUUUGCUGCUCAGAUCUGUCAUAGGGCAGAGCCACUGCCCUCUGCACACUGCAACGCUUUGCUGUUGGGAGCACUUGGCAGGGCCACAAAGGACCUUUGUUCACGCCAGGCCCUGGGUGCACAAUGCAAUCCUUCCCCCUUGUCACACACUGCUGGGUUUCCAUGGCCGGGUCAGAAGCGCUCCCCCCACUGCACUGUCACCUCCCGCUUUCCAUGGCAGCGCUGCAGAACGGAGGGGAAAGAGGGGAGUCGGGCACUGCUUUUUGGGGCAUGGAUUCUGCAAACUCCAACUGAGCAGCACACGAUAGAUCUGUGAGUGCCGGAGCUCUGCCCUCAGUUUCUUCUUCACAGGACUUUUGCUACCAGGCUGCAGCAAAACCACCUGAGUAAGACUCUCUGAUUUCCAGGUACAUUCUUGUCCUUCAGAGGCCAGGAACAUGGCCGUGUUAAUGGCAGAUAAAUUGAGCUAACGUGAUUCCUCUGUGUCACAUCUCUCCAUUUGCAUCAAAUCUGCCAGCCCGUGUGUAUGUGUGUGUGUAUGUGUGUGUGUGUGCCAGUGCAGUGGGGCUCAGAAUGCAGCCCUGAAUGCAGAGAGGGCAAGAAGUGUCCCAGGGUUGAGGAUGGGAGCUCCAGGAAAAGAUGCCAAGGUGGGGCAGGGAAGGACGAGCACAGCCUGAGAUGAUGCUGCUGGGAAGGAGUGGGAUUUUGCAGCAUGGGAGUGUCUCUAUGUUUUAAUUUCACUGUGAAAUACAAAGAAGAGAUGAUUGCUGGAUCACUCACAAAUCAUUUAAAACGCGUUCAAAAGAAACAGUGCUUCUUUUUGAAAAAAGCAGAAGGGAGUGAAAGGCAUCUCUGGAAGGAAAUGAAGUUCCAAAAGAUCUGAUCGUGUUCUGAACACAGUCAAGAGACACACCUGGAAAUAGGAUCAGACUGCAUCAUCCACACCUUCACAGACUUCUGCCACAGAGAGAGCCACAGAGAAGGACACGCUUUGUUUCUUCCAUUUCUCAUUUCAAACAUCACAGGAUUCAGAACAAACCAGUCCCUAUUUCCAAACCCAGCUCUGAUUUGGAACAGCCAAAGUUCAGAUGCUUUGGCAUCUGCCUGGAACGCCCCUUACACUCCCAAACCACAGAGGGACAAUAUUUCACCCAGACAGAUUACUACCGUGCCAAGGAAUAAACUGUCAAUGACAACAAGAAGAAAGAAUUGGCAAAACCUCCCAUUCAUUUCUUCCUUACCAGUGUAAACGUUUGCCAUCAGGACACCUUAAGCAUGAUGAAGCGUACUUGACAGUUACCUCCUCCUGUCUCCUCCCACACGCUUUAAUUCCACAUACUCACUGCUUCCUGCAUGGACUCAUUACAAGUAUUGGCCUUUCUGUCUCCCUGGAUCCCCCUUGGGCUGCUUCAUAGCACGUCCAGAUGAACAAACUGUAACAAUGGUUCUUGAGCAAUACUUCAGAAAUGCAGAAGAGCAGAAGAAGGGAGCCGCGCAUUACAGCGACAUCUUACUGAGGAAUAUCUGUCUAAAUCCUUUUAUUUUUUUUCAACUGGGCUUCUUCUUCUCCUGUUUCUGGUGAGUAGGAGGGAUCUCGGUUGAAAAAAAUCCAGGCUGGUUUAUGCACAUGAAAAACAUCUCCCUGGGGGAAUGUGUCUCAGUCGCCUCUUACAAGGUCAAUUGAUUAUUUCACGUCGCCUUUUGGCAUGUCAGAAGUCUCCUGUUGAGCAAUUCCGCUGCACUAAAAAGUAUCUGAAGAACUUAUUUUUGAGUAGUUUCUUACACAUAAUCGAUUCUCCCCAAAAGCAAGAAAAUCUAACCACCGUUCUCCAAAAAGAUGACAGCAGAAUGUAAUGCAAAGAAGCCAUAGGAAGGCAGAAGCACAAAACCAGGAACCAACUCGGAAGGCACUCCUGCUGCUCUCCACACCGCCAGAAGGAAAGCAACCCAAGCUUGAGUCUGUAACAUCCCAUAAGCCUCAUUAGUUCAGUUUUCUUCUCUUUUUGUACAAUUCAAGCUUCUUUCCAACCCCACCUCCACUUCUUGCUUUAAUCCCGAAGCUCUCCCUCGCCUGCCUCACUCACGGAUUAUCUUCUUGCUAAAAUUUUCAAACAAGGCCAAAGAGAAGUCAGAAGGAAAGCAUUAACCCAUGCCCACGUCCCACGCCAAGUGCAGGCUCCGGCCCUGUCUGCAGAGGGAUGGUGUGACAGAAGUGCUAAGUCUCACUGUUUCAAAUAAAAAGACCGGUGAUUUGGGCAGCUCUUGCUUGCCUCUGCAGCCAAAUGGAGAUGGAAACUCAGCAAAACCCUGAGCACAACCAUCAUGGAAAGCGUUCAGCAACAGCUCAUGAAGCGCUCAUUCCGUAAGAACCCCAAACUGGAGCGCUAUUGCAUGGUGCUGGCACUGAAAUAAUCUCCACUCAGCCCAUGCAUGCUAACAGCAAAGUUCUGCAAGAAGUUCAGGCUCACGUCUCCUCUGACACAGUAUGUUACUAAUCCACAGUGCUGCCUACCAGGGCCACGGAGCGUGAAAAGCAGGAAAACAGCCAGAAACAGGUCUGCAGCAAAGCAACCAGAGCAUGCACUCAUUCCCAAUGACUUCAGCAAACACUCCUCCCUCCUUUCCUGUGUGCUGAAAAUAGGCUCCAACCAACCAGUCACUGACAUUCAGCAAGAUGCUGAUGUUCAGGAUUUGUUUGCCAAAACACAUGUGCUCCUUCAAGGGAGGAAGGAGAGUAAAAAGAUCCUUAACUGUAUGAUUUCAAAGCCACUGAUUUUGUGACCUGCUUGUGUUCACUGAGUUCAUCUCCCAGUUUUACAAUGUUUGUGAAAACUUCUCUCUUUAAAGCAACCAACCAACAAAAACCCUGCUCUGAGAUUGGUGCAAUGUGGCAGUUCUUGCCAUGGCAACCCAUCAGCUCUAAGUGUGCAUUUCUGGAUGGACCUCACUGCAAAACGAAGCAGGGCAGGGAAAGAGCAUGCAAAAAAAUCUCUGGUGGUUGAGGCCAGCCUGGCAAUCCCACCACCAGGACAUGCAGGGAAAGAACCUCAGCUCAAACCAUUGAACACCUGCUUGGUCAUUUGCAGGUUGGUUGAUCUGCUUGUUUUGUAAAGCAUGGUCCAUGCAUUUUGUUUCCCAAACAGCAUGGAAAACUACCUUUGCAGCACCAAAAGGGAGCAGAAUUAAGGAAACUGGACCAUGCUCCCAGAUGGUCUACAUAUACCAUAUGAAGUGCAAUAUCUCCAGCCUGAGGACACAGCCCAGCUCCCUUGGUGCUUCCAAAGAUACCACUGGAUGUGUUGCACUACUAGCACCGACCUGCUGUGGCUUCAGCACCCAUUAAACACUCGCUAUGCUUUCAAGCUUGUCUUCACAACCACAAGUCUUUCUCUGACACAGCCCCCUCUCCCUAACCCUUUAAUGAGUAGUUUAGGAAUUCAGCACCCUGACAUGCUGGCAGGAGCUGAGACCUCCAGGCACACCUCAUCUUAGGAUAUUCUUCAAUCUAGCUAUCUAGCCAAAUCCAUUGUGUAACUGCUCAGGAUCCAAAGCUGGCACUCAAGCCAACUUUUUCCUCCCUCCCAACAGCAUUCCCUCUCUAUCUUAUCACCUGCAAGACUCUGCCCUAAGUGCUCAGAUUACCCAGGCUGGAGCUAUCUAGAGUUAUUUCUCCUGAGGCUUUAUGUGAAAGUUUAGUUGCACAACAGUUUCUGAGGUUUAGGGAAAACUAUGUUCCACGGCUGAAAAAAAGGCAAGAGCUGAUGCUGUUAUCCGAAAUCACCCAACCCCAAAAACCAAAUAAAGUGGGAAGAGAAGAAGCAAUAGUCCAGUGCUUAAGGUUGGGUCUGACAAAGAUUUGAAACCACAUCUCCAAGGAGUGUUCAAAGCAUUAUCUCAAUCAAAAUUCCUUUCCAUGAUUUCUUUUUCUCAUGGAAGGGUCACUGGAACAGGUUGCCCAGAGAAGUUGUGGAUGCCCCAUCAUUGGAAGUGUUCAAGACCAGGCUGGAUGUGGCCUUGAGCAACCUGGUCUGGUGAAAGAAGUCCUUGCCUGCAGCUGCGGGAACUAGGUGGUCAUUAAAGUCCCUUUCAAC